rnacentral:rRNA from 1 species
GCCCUAAGGUAGCGUAAUAAUUAGUUUAAUAAUUUUAUUCAAGUAUGAAGAUAAAACGGCAGAAUUGUUUCUUUUUUUUAAAAAUGAAUUUUAAUCCUUAUUGAAAAUGAUAAGAUUUUCUAAAAAGACGAUAAGACCCUAGAAUCUUUACUGAGUUUUAUUGGGAUAAUAAAUUUGAGUAAUAAAAUAGUAUUAACUUAAUAAUAAUGAACCUCAUUAGUGUUUCAAGAAGAAGAUACUCUAGGGAUAACAGCACAAUUCUAUUUUAGAGUUCUUAUCGAAAGUAAGAUUGUGACCUCGAUGUUGAAUUAAAGUAAGCUUGCCGCAGUAGGCAAAGUUUUUAAGUCUGUUCGACUUUUUUACUUUACAUGAUUUGAGUUAAGAUCGACGUAAGCCAGAUUGGUUUU